rnacentral:lncRNA from 1 species
CAGAUUGUCUUCACUUAGAGUUACAAGCAUUUAGACAAUUCUCUAAACUAUAAUGCAACAUAUUCAGAAUAUGAACAUUUUAUGAUAACUUUCUAUGAAAAAGACCUGCUAGAUAUUGUGCACAAGUAAUCUCAUACUUACAAGAACAGAUUUCCACAUUUCAUGAUUGAGACAGAUUCAGCUAUAGCACUUUCAUAUUUUCAAGAAUUUGCAAAUGGGCUUUUUUAAGUACUCCUAAUAAUGGUGUUUCAGAUCAGAUCUUUUGUCACAAUAAAUCAUAUGCCAUUAAUAUAAUCUCCUAGCAUGCUCACCUUGAAAUUCAUUUAUAUUUUAAAGAACAUGAUGUUUCUAACAUUAUCUUAAGGAAAUUAAUUACCAAAAUAUAUAGUUCUCUCUAUGCUUCUUAUGACAGAAAUUGAAAGAACUGGGAAUGAUAAUGAUUUUUCCGGUGGUACUUAAGGGAGUGCUAGUUGAGAGGUUUAUAUCAUAUUCUUUUCCAAAUUUCUCUGUAAAUCUAAGUUAACUGUUAGAAGGAAAUAUAUGCUGUUCAACUUUCUAAACUUUAAGGUAGUCUGUAGUCAAAAUGAAUUUAAUUAAAUGUCUUUUUAGUCUGAAAAAAUUCUGAAAAUAUUUAUGCUAUUUAAAACCAUUUCCUACAUAAUAUUGGUGUUUAGAAUAUUUAUAUAACUUGACGAUUAUUUACAGUCAUAUUUAUACUUAUAAUUCAAAUAUAUUACACCUUUCUGGGUUUUAUUUAGAAAAAGCAUUUUAAGUUCUUGCUUUUUAAAAAUGGUAUUAACAAUUAUAUGUAAAUACACUAAAAUAUGCAUCUAUUAAUAAUAUAAUUAUGAACUUAUAAUGAUUUUGGAUAAAAUACAGAAUAAAUUUCCUGUGUAAAACUGUGCAGCAUUGACAGGGGCUUAUAGGUAACUCUUCAAAAUUUAACUAACUAUAGAAAAAGUUGUUUCGGAGUUCUCAUUGUGGCUCAGCAGUAAUGAACCCAACUAGUAUCCAUGAGGAUGUGGCUUCAACCCCUGGCCUUGCUCGGUGGGUUAAGGAUCUGGCAUUCCCAUGAGCCGUGGUGUAGGUCACAGACCAGCUUGGAUCCCAUAUUGCUGUGGCUGUGGUGUAGGCCAGAGGAUACAGCUCAUAAUUCGACCCCUAGCCUGGGAAU